rnacentral:rRNA from 1 species
AGGGUUCGAUCCUGGCUCAGGAUGAACGCUAGCUACAGGCUUAACACAUGCAAGUCGAGGGGAAACGAUAUUGGAAGCUUGCUUCCGAUAGGCGUCGACCGGCGCACGGGUGAGUAACGCGUAUCCAACCUGCCCACCACUUGGGGAUAACCUUGCGAAAGUAAGACUAAUACCCAAUGACGUCUCUAGAAGACAUCUGAAAGAGAUUAAAGAUUUUUCGGUCAUCGAUGGGGAUGCGUUCCAUUAGGUUGUUGGCGGGGUAACGGCCCACCAAGCCUUCGAUGGAUAGGGGUUCUGAGAGGAAGGUCCCCCACAUUGGAACUGAGACACGGUCCAA